ensembl:lncRNA
AACACAAUAGGGGCUAAUGAAUAGAGCUUGCUGCACUCAAGAGACUGCAGUUCAAUUACUAGUGGUGCCAAUCAAGUCAGAAAUAUUAACCAUGGUAACAGCAGAUUUGAGUUGCAUGGAAUGAGGCAGUGGCUUCUUGGGGAAGAUCGCCUCUUGGGAGAGAAGGGGAUGCUUACAGUAAGAGUUGCCGAAGGUCGGAGAAUGCUUCUUUGUGGCAAAAGAGAGUAGUACUCAGCUCAUGCUACAGGGAGCUCUGUGUUGUUUGUAUUUGUUUUCACUGCAAUGUGCCUGAGAGGUUGUAACUAGCAAGUGUGCUUAACUAUGGGGCCUAUACUAUGUGCCUAGCAUAUAGAAAUGUAUUUCCUGUGUAUGUGUGCACGCAUUACACAAGGUACUUGCUAUACCCUAAUAUGUUGUACAAUAUAUUAGCUAAUUAUGUGAAAGAUACAUUUAAAUGGAGAUUAGGUCCUAAACAGGAGUAAAAUGUUGCUGAAGUCAUUGUGACUGCACUGAAUUCCACCAAUCGAAGCUGUAGCCUUUUAUAAGGAUUUACUUAAUAUAGUGCAUUUGUUCUGCUGGCUGAUGAUCAGAGUGAGGAUCCCUUGAUUUGAUACAAUGGCAGUGUUAUGUAUUAGUAGCAUGAACAGGAAGCAGCUGGCAUCCUGUUCAGAAAACAAUCUCAGUUUUUAUUGCAGAGAACAAUAUUGAAAAACAGCACGUGUGUGUGAGGGGCCUAAUCCUUAAAAAUGUGGGAGUUGAGAUACUGUCCCUUUUCAUUGACUAGUCACUUCUGGACUAUCGCUCUCAAUUUGUCUUUCUUCACAGAAAGCUGUUCUGGUUUUGGUCUUUUGGAAUACAGAGAAAACCAGCUUGAACCCCAAAAUGGCUGUUUUGCACCUGUCUGCUGCCUUAUCCUGCUGGAAGUUGACAUAUUCAUAACUCUGGAGAAACAAAGAAGGCCAUUGUGUAACUAUCAUCAUACCAUUUUAAAAGGACCUGCUUUCCUCUAAGGUCAAUCUGCACUUAUAUACACAUGCAUAUGGAAAAAAAAUAUAUAUCCAUAGGUACGUAUAUGUAUACACACAUGUACACAUAUACAUAUGUGCAUUUUUGGGACAUUGUUCAAUUAAUUAAUGUUUUUCAUUGAAUUUAGCAGGGGAGGACAAGAACUUAGAUCCUCUCUAAUCUUCAAGUUCUUUGAGGACAUAUUUUUUUUUUUGACAUUUAAAUUAUACAUAUUUUAUACAUGAACAAGUUUUGGAGCAUCUGAAUUACUUAUAUUCGUAAGGAUAUACUCAGAAUUAGUCCUGUAUUGAGUAGAAGUUGCUUACUAAUAUGCUUACUUAUAGCAUUCUGCAUAUAGAAAAAACAGCAACAAAAAAACCCUCAAGGAAUAGCUAAGGUAUCUCAAUAUUUGGUUGUGACAUACUCAGAAAGCAUUUUGUUGUUGUUGUUAUUGUUGUUUUUUGUUUGUUUCUGUACUUCUGACAAUAUUUGGCAACCUGGGAACUUUGUUUUAUGUACAGUCUUAGUAUUUGUUACAUUCACAGAACACACAUAAUUGCAAAUACUUCUUUGAUCAGAAGCAGGCCAGAUUUCCCUUAACUAUAUAAAUUUUUCAAUGAAAUCAGUCUUUUUGGUCUGAGGGAUUAUUUGGAACAAAAAUGGCAUAUUUUCAAGUAGACAAAAAAAUCACCUUCCCUUAAAAUGGUUAAGCAUUUACAAAUAUCUUAGUAAUGCAAAAAAUUGUUUCCAAUGCUUUCAGU